CCUACGGGGGGCUGCAGUGGGGAAUAUUGGACAAUGGGCGAAAGCCUGAUCCAGCCAUGCCGCGUGUGUGAAGAAGGCCUUCGGGUUGUAAAGCACUUUCAGUGGGGAAGAAAGCCUUGGGGCUAAUACCCUCGAGGAAGGACAUCACCCACAGAAGAAGCACCGGCUAACUCCGUGCCAGCAGCCGCGGUAAUACGGAGGGUGCGAGCGUUAAUCGGAAUUACUUGGCGUAAAGCGCGCGUAGGCGGUCUGAUAAGCCGGUUGUGAAAGCCCCGGGCUCAACCUGGGAACGGCAUCCGGAACUGUCAGGCUAGAGUGCAGGAGAGGAAGGUAGAAUUCCCGGUGUAGCGGUGAAAUGCGUAGAGAUCGGGAGGAAUACCAGUGGCGAAGGCGGCCUUCUGGACUGACACUGACGCUGAGGUGCGAAAGCGUGGGUAGCAAACAGGAUUAGAUACCCGAGUAGUC
rnacentral:rRNA from 1 species